UUAGUCUUUUUACAUAUGAUAGGGACCAGACGUGCAAUAAAAAUAUAAAAUAGGGACGUUCCGAGUUAAAAAAAGUUGUUAAGGACCAAGCACACAGAUUACCCUAAACCACAGGGACCAUCCGUGUAAUUUACCCUUUUAAACAAUAGUAAUAAUAAUGAUCUUACAACCUUAUGAAUUAUCUUACGAACCUAUCCAACAACUGUAACACCCAAAGUCAGGAAGGCCAAGAAAGGAAAGAAAACCCUAACUUUAAGGGACGACUCGUCGAGUCCAAGGAGGAACUCGGCGAGUCCGAGCGGGAUCCGGGUCAAGGAGUAAGUGACCGACUCGGCGAGUCGGCCAAGGAGACUCGACGAGUCUGGUCUGAACGAGGAAAACCCUAAAUUCGGGACUUGGAGCCUAUUUAAGCGCCUCAUUCUCUUCCCUAGAUUUCCUUUACAGCCUCUCUAACCCAGAACACCAAACCCUAGCCGCCAUAUCCAUUUUUGAGCUAAUUAUUGCCUUGAAGAGUGCAUUAAAGCUUGGAGAAGGAAGAAGAAUCUUGGAGGUGCAAGAAGGGGGCUAUAGAUCCGGGAUUGGGAAGACAUUUCUGAGCAUUUUGAGCUCGGGGAGCUAGUGGAGCAGGAGUUCAGAGAAUUGUCGGGCAGCAGCUAGAGGGGUUAUCAGCAAGUUUAGCAAAGUGCAGGUGAGUUUCCCUUUUGUGUGAAUGGGUCUAAGGCCACAAUGCUGGCCCAUGUAGUUAUGAGUAGUAGACCCGGGGGUUAGCCCUAGGCACAGUAUGCUAGUAUGAUAUUCAGGACGAGGUCCAAUGAUAGCGGGCGGGUGCCCAAGGAUUGGUUUAUAUGAUAGUUUAUACUUGUUGUCUGUGUGAUACAUGUAUGUGCCUGGUAGGGAGGUGAGUGUGGGCGAGGUCCCGUAUCUCACCAAUAGCAGAGUGUGGAUGGUGUUCCACAUCUCAUUAGCAGCAGAGCAGGGGCGAGGCCCAAGUUAGGGAAGGAGUGAGUGUGGGCUGGGCCCGUAUCUCACUAUUAGUAGGAGCGUGGACGGGGUUCCAUGUCUCAUCAGUAGCAGGACAAGGGCGAGGCCCAGGAUAGGCGAGGCCUUAGGAUAGAAUCCAUUGUAUAUGUUUAGCUUAUGUUUUGCGGUAUGAUUAUGUGCUAUUAUAUGUUAGCGGGCGAGGCCCUGUGACAGGCGAGGCCUAAGUGAAAAAGAUCUGUAUCCGAGCGGGGCUCGAAGCCAGGCGGGGCCGUUGUAGCGGGCGAGGCCCGAGGUAGGGGGCGAGGCCCAGGAUAGCGGGUGUGGCCCAGUAUGUGCAGUAUGUGGUAGGGUGGGGAACUCGCUAAGCUUCGUGCUUACAGUUUUCAGUUUUGGUUUCAGGUACUUCCGGUAGUGGAGGGAAGAGCUCGGGGUGAUCGCAUGGCACACACCAUAGAUUAGACAGCCUGAGAAUGUUUACUCUGAUAACGAACAUGUGUUUUGGAAAUUAAUACUCUGAUUAUGUUUUGGAUUGAUGAAUUUGCUUUAAGUAAUGUUUUAUUAAAAGAAAUUUUUAGUCUUAAAUUUUGGGACGUUACAAGUUGGUAUCAGAGCCUUGGUUUGAGGGAUUCGGACAUACCCUCGGGUGUGUUUGAACUCAAACUAAGGGAUUGGGAUAAAAGUUUCAAAAUGAAAGGACAAAUUUUGUAAAAAGAGUUUUAGAAAUGAAACAUUUUUAAAAAAGAGAAAAGAAUUCAGAAAGAAAAGAAUUUUGAUAAGAGAAAAGGGUGUGGUGCAUGCAAUCAGCCGAGCUCAAGUAAGUACCCCAAAAUACCCAUACAAGUUUAUGUUAUGAUUAUCAGUUAAUAGAACAGCAUGCUGGAUUAGGACUAAGGAUCUAGGGAGGAUGCCUUAUGUGCCUGUUAUAUGUGCUUUUGAGCUACAUGAUAGUGCUGAUUAGACAGUAGUAGGAUAGCCUGUUUAGGUUAUGCCUGAGUUUAUGAGUUUGUGUUGCAUGUUAGUAUAGAUUCUUGGUAUGAUAUUAUGAUUGCUUGAGUAUGUUAUGGUUAGAUUUUCCCUUGUCCGAAUGCUGCUUGAUUUGUGCAAUGUGGGAUUCUGAGUGGUGGGAGUUAGCCAUUAAGUGGAUACGUCACAUCACAUGUGAUCAGGGUUGAAUAAUCUCAGAGUGCUGGAUUUGGCCCUAUUGCGCAACUCUCGUUUGAGUCUAACCGUUGUGGGGACGAGUCUUUUACUCGAAGGAUUAUCUGAGCCUCGUCACAUGUGAUGGUAUUCAGGUGAUGGCUAAUUGGAAUCACAAGGAGUCCUUCAGCAGCUGAGGACUGGUUUUAGAUUGAGUCAGAGGUUUCCCUAGGGCAAGCCUAGGAUGAAGUAGUGCUGGGAGCAGUGGUAGUAGAAAAGGGACCUGGUGGAGUCGAAGCAAUUCCUGAGGACGGUACGGAUAGAUGUGGAAGGUAGGAUGGGCCCGUACUACUGAAAGCAGAGGAUCCGUACUCGAUUCAGGAAAGGCCGAGAUAAGACCGGGAACCUGGUAGGGUGUGUGUUUGGUCUCGCAGCAAUGAUAAGUAUUAUGAUAGAGGAUGUAUUAUAUUUUCAGCAUGGUGAUGUUGCGAGAGAGACCAGUGGGCGGAUCAGGCGCCGGAGAGGGAUCAGGCUCGGGUUCAGGAGCCGAGCAGCUCGAGGAGCGAAUGAGGGAGUUGAUAUCAGUGGAGGUUAUGCGCAGUAUUCUAGAUCAGACUCCUGUGAUCUUUGGCACGGUCAAGGAGGGUAUACUGGAGAUUUUAGAUGAGAGGCUGGGAGCCUUCCGUACCGAGAUGAUGGCUUUGAUGGGAGCGCGUACCUUGACAUUCCGAGAGUUUAGAGCUUGCGGAGUGCCAGAUUAUCAUGGGGCUAAGGACCCCAUUGCUAGCAGCAGGUGGUUGGCCGAUGUCGCCAACGCAUUUCGUACGAGCCGGUGUCCCGAGGGGGACAAGGUCAGACUCGCCUCCUAUCUUCUGAAGGACAGAGCGAGGGAUUGGUGGGAAGAGAUUGGUCAUGUUUUGGGUGAUGAUGCCGCGUUGGACGCGAUGACAUAGGGUGAUUUUUCAGCCAGGUUCAGGGCGGAGUUUUCGCCAAUUAUUGAGGUGCAGCAGUUGGCACGGGAGUUUCAGGAUUUGACGCAGACCACUGAGACUGUGGCGGAGAUCACCACCAAGUUCAGGGAGAGGGCUCUUCUUGUACUGCAGUAUGUCGCGGAUGAGGAGAUGAAUAAGGCUCGAUACCAUGAGAUGUUGAGGGAUGACAUCAGACAGUUUGUGAGCAGGUCCAGCUGCAAAACGUUGGAGGAUAUGAUCGCUCGGGCUAGAGAAAGGGAAAUUGAUUUGGAGCAGAUCCAAAAGAGGAAGCCGGAUGAGGUUCAGGUAGCUACAGGUUCGGGCAAAAGGCCAAGGGACUGGAUUCGAGAUCGAGGGAUUAUCAGGACCACAACCGAUGCGGGAAGUAUGGCAGAGUGCACGGGGGCGCGUGCAGGAGUGGUAGCGGUGGUGAGUCUGGCUGCUUCAAGUGCGGUUGGACUGGUCAUUUUAGCAGGGAUUGUACUGUUACCAUCAUUCAGGGGUCCGACUUGAUAUGUUUUCACUGCAACCAGCGGGGACACAAGAAGGCCUAGUGCCCUAGUUUGUUUCCGGCAGGACGGGUGAUGGCACGUCCCCCUGCAACUUUGAGGAUUGCGGACGGUCGUCAGGGCCGUGCGGAGGCGGCUGCGGUAGGAGGCAGGGCUUUUCAGAUGACUACCCUGGAGACGCGAGCAGUGCCGGACAUUGCAGGCUUAUUUCAGGAUGGCUAGAAAGAGGUUAUGCAACUCUGCUUGCAAAUGCAAGGCAAUAUGUCUUUGUGUCUUCAUGAAAUGGCGAACCACCUCUCACCAAAUGGCGGAGUCGCUUUAAAACAAUAAUACCCUUUACCAAUAAUAAAUAAAAAAAAAUACAAGGGUUGAGGGUUGACUAGUGAACCUAAAUGCUAAUCCGAACAAGACCCGUUUAUUUAACGGUUUGAAAGAUCAUAAAUUUCAACCCAAACUCAUUUAUUUUCAUGUUGAGUCCAUAUGGUGCAAUGUUGGGCCAAUAACUUAAAAAGAAGGAUAUCGUUAUAUAGAUAAACUAGGUUAA